rnacentral:rRNA from 1 species
UGCGUAGGCGGUUUAUCAAGUCAGGGGUGAAAGGCUACGGCUCAACCGUAGUGAGCCUCUGAAACUGGUGAACUUGAGUGUAGGAGAGGAAAGUGGAAUUCCCAGUGUAGCGGUGAAAUGCGUAGAUAUUGGGAGGAACACCAGUGGCGAAGGCGACUUUCUGGACUACAACUGACGCUGAGGCACGAAAGCGUGGGGAGCAAACAG